AAUGGAAAGUGAGAUUUGCAAGGUUUGUUCUUCUCCUUGUGGACGAUGAAACAUAAAUUCUUCUUCUCCCUGACGUUAAUGGGUGUCUCUCUAGUAGUCUUUCUCGGCCGCUCAUCCCCUGGAUCAUUAGCAUUCCUAUGGCACCAAUAUUAGGAGAUCCCACUUCCCCAUAUAAACACCAGAAUCCAGAUCACUCUGCAAGAUUUAGUUUCUUUAUUAUAAAUCCAUGGCUCAUCAACUAGUUGAGACUACCAAGCAGAACUACUACAGUCAAUACGGGUCGACGAAAUGACCAUGGUUCCUUCUGCACAUCAUCAAAACUUAUCCAGACAACAACAACAACACCCUCAUCUCUACGGUGGUUAUGGUGGCUGCGGUGCCAAUUAUUACAACAAUACGGCGCCGGACGACGAGAGCUUUGGUGGUCUUCUUAUGAAUCAAGUAGAGGAAGGUGGUUAUGAUCAGUAUAGUUAUAAUAAUACUAUUACUGAUCAAUCUUACUUAUUAGCAUCUUCCGAUCUAGUAGUGGUUAAUGGUCCAAUGGCAGAAGAUGAAUCAAGAACUAACAGUCUUAACAACGAAGCUGAAGCCGAAGCGGGAUCAAGUUCUAAAGCUCACGUAGAUGAAGAUCAGAGAGACGAAAGAUGGCUCCAAUUGAGUAUAGGCGGCCACACCGCUACGGGUGCAGACGUCCAAGCUCCGGAAAGAAGGAGCUCGUUAAGGGGUUCAUCAUCGGCAUCGGGAUUGAUUGAGCUUGAUCUGUUAUCAGCAAAUAUUUCGUCGCCGUCGUCUUCAUCAUCACGGCAGUUUCAGUUGCAACAAGGUGCUGCCAGGUCUUCUAUGACUCCCAUGUUUCAUGUUCCCGAUCAUCAUCAUCAUCAUCAAAUUCGUGUUCCUAAUUUCGGCAUGAGCACUACGUCUAAUUUAUAUUUUCAACACCCGGGUUUCGGAAUGGGAAUGGGAAUGAGUAGUUCUAUGCCGCCGAGCUUUCAUCAACACCAGCACCAGGAGGUUAACUGGGGAUUUAGGCCAUUGAUCCCUCAUCAUCAUAAUAAUCAUAUAGGGAAUAGUAGUGCUUCUACUUCUACCUCUUCGUCUUCUUUUAUUCAACUGGGACCAUCCUCCUCCACCUCCUAUUUUGCACGCCCAUUUCAACUUCAACAUCAUCAUCUUCAUCAUGGUGGUGGUGCUGCCCCGAGCUUAGAUUUCAGAGUUGUUGAUCCUCCGAGGCGUCCCCAGUCCGGCAUCUGGUUUAUGCUACAAGCCUCACAAAAUCAAGAAAAAGAGCCGUUCUUGCCCCAGAUACCUAAAAGCUACCUCAGAAUCAAAGAUGGAAGGAUGACAGUUCGAUUGAUAAAGAAGUAUCUGGUUAACAAGCUAAGACUUGACAGCGAAUCAGAGGUAGAGAUAACAUGUAGAGGACAGCAGCUUCUACCUUUCUUGACGUUGCAGCAUGUAAGAGAUAAUAUAUGGAGUCCAAGGGACGCAGCGAGCAUCACUCACUUUGCUUCCACUUCCAGACUUGUCCUCCUGCACCUCCACAUCAACAACCACAGAUGACCAUGUCAUGGUGCUGCACUAUGCUAGGACGUCUUCGUCUUCUACAACUGCUUGAUUAAUUAAUUCAAACUUAAUUUUUCCCCAUAAUUUAUUGAUUAAUCGGGUCACCAUGAUGUAUCAUUG